UGACCAUGUUCACCUUCAUCUGCCAGAGCUGACUCUCUGCUGAGAUGCCUUGGCCUGGGCUCUACUCCUCAAAUAUGCUGGCAGUAUCACUAAGUCAGCCAUCCUCAUUGUCAGCCAAUGUGAGAGAGACUGUCAGGAUCACCUGCUCUGGGGCUAGCAGCAACUGGUAUGGCUGGUUCCAGCAGAAGGUCCCUGGCAGUGCCCCUGUCACUGUGAUCUACGACAACACCAACAGACCCUCGGGCAUCCCUUCGCGAUUCUCCGGAUCCUUAUCUGGCUCCACGGCCACGUUAACCAUCACUGGGGUCCAAGCCGAGGAUGAGGCUGUCUAUUUCUGUGGCUAUGACAGCAGUGCUGCUCAGGCUCUUGGUGAUGGUUCCCUGGUCCAGGCAGCAGCAGUUACUCAGCCAUCCUCAGUGUCAGCCAAGGUGGGAGACACAGUCAGGAUCACCUGCUCUGGGGGUGGCAGCUACUAUGGCUGGUAUCAGCAGAAGGUUCCUGGCAGUGGCCUUGUCACUGUGAUCUACGAAAACAGCAAGAGACCCUCAGACAUCCCUUCGCGAUUCUCCGGAUCCCAGUCCGGCUCCUCGGCCACGUUAACCAUCACUGGGGUCCAAGCUGAGGAUGAGGCUGUCUAUUUCUGUGGUAGUGAUGACAGCAGCAGUGGUGGCUAUGGUGUAUAG